AGAUUGGAAAAGAAUAAAUGAGAAUAUUCAAACUCAGAUAGUUCGCUUAGAUGACAACAAUCAAGAUUCGGUUUACCGAGUAUUGUCUAUGAGCUAUGAAGAUUUGCCAAUGCAGUUAAAGCAUUGCUUCCUCUACCUAGCGCAUUUUCCCGAAGAUUACAAGAUACAAGUUGGGAAAUUGUGUAAUCUCUGGGAAGCAGAAGGAACAAUAACAUCAAGUUGCGAUGGAGCAACCACUAGGAAAAUUGGAGAAGAAUAUAUAGACGAGCUAGUAAGGAGAAAUAUGGUUAUGGCAGUAAAACAGGAUUUGAGUUGCACUUGGGAGUAUUGUCAAAUGCAUGACAUGAUGAGAGAAGUUUGCUUAUAUAAAGCUAAAGAAGAGAACUUUCUUAAGUUUAUCAAAGUCCCUAAUUCUUCCACCUCCACCAUCAAUGCUCAUACUCCUACUAGAUUUCGCAGACUCGUAGUACAUGGUGGUAAUGCCCUUGAUCUGCUGGGACGUAAAAGCAAUCAAAAAGCUAGAUCUGUUUUGGGGUUUGGACUCGACAGCAACUUGUGGAAGCAGUCAGCUCAAGGACUCCGAAAUUUACAAUUACUUAGGGUCCUAGAUCUGACUCUGAGUUUAAAACUACAUGGUAGAAGCAACUCUAGAGGAGGGAGAAUACCUUCCAGCAUAGGAAAGCUCAUUCAUUUGAGAUAUUUGAGCUUAUACAUGGGUUGUGCAACUCAUGUACCUUCUUCUUUUAGGAAUCUAAAGCUUCUAAUCUAUUUGAAAAUUUGCUCUGGGGCAACAGUUUAUCUGCCAAGUAUCUUUAAAGAGAUGGUAGAGUUGAGGUUCCUAUUUCUCCCCUCUUCUUUUGAGGCUAAAACAAAGUUGGAAUUGGGUAAUCUUGUGAACCUGGAGUACCUGACCUGCUUCCGAGCAGAAUACGGUAGCAUCACAGACUUCCUCCGAAUGACUAGGCUCAGGACUCUCUAUGUAUUUCUCAAAGGCAGGUAUACUUCUGAAAUUCUAGUGUCAUCUCUAUGUGAAUUAAGAAACCUGGAGACGCUUAUAUUGAUCGAUGUGAACGAACCCGAUGAGGCUUAUUAUGAUGUGGAUUUCGUUUGGAAUUUCAUUCAUCUAAGGCAUUUAGAGCUGGCCAUACAUAUGCCAAGGCUUCCCAAUCACUCUCGAUUUCCUCCCCACCUUGCACACAUAUCUUUACGUUACUGUAACAUGGAGGAUGAUCCACUGCAGAUUCUGGAAAAAUUGCUUCAUUUAAAGUCGGUUAAGUUAACAGAUUUUUCUUUCGUGGGGAGGAAGAUGGUGUGUUCAAAAGGUGGAUUCCCUCAAUUAUGUAAGCUAGAAAUAUGGGACCUAAACGAAUUGGAAGAGUGGAUAGUCGAAGAAGGGUCGAUGCCAUGUCUUCGUACCUUGUCUAUUCGGUAUUGUAAAAAGUUGAAGGAGCUACCGGAAGGGCUCAAGCAUAUAACUUCUUUAAAGGAACUGUAUAUCAGACAUAAGAACAAGGAGUGGAAGACAAAACUCGUACCAGGUGGGGAAAGUUACCACAAAGUCCAACACAUUCCUAGUGUUCAAUUACACUAUGAUAGCGACGAAUAAGGAGAAUAAAACGGUCUCAGGUAUGUCUUUUUGGUAUAAUGUCAAUAUUGUUCUUCUUGAAGUUUUGUGUGUAAGUCUCAACUAUCUAACCUUUUUAUUAUUCGGUUUUCAGGUGAACCUACUCAGGAUCAGUACCCACCACUACCGAUUGUGUGAUAUGAUAAUAAGUCGUUUUUGUUGUAUGAAGUUUACAUAUCUUGUUUGUGAUAUAUUCCGUAUAUCUAUUUGCAUGCUCAUUCACUGUAAUGCUAAGUUUGAAAUACAUUAUUUGUAUGUUGAACCAUAUCUUAUUCGAUGUUCUCCGUUGUGUGUGCUUAGUUGACUUGUAUAGUUACCGAACCGAACCUGAGUUUUCCAAAUUUGUCUUUUACUACUAAACCGGACAAAUUGAUGGUUUAAAAACAAAACUCGGUCUGGAUUAUAAUAAAAUCAGAUGAUGAGACUCUACCAAACAAGAGAGUCCUUUCGAUCUCUGCAAAUUUGUUUUUGACUCCAAUUAAGAGGAGGAGAAGUCUAUUAGUUGAAGCGAAUACAAAACGCGGUGAUCCGUGCGUUUCAGACAUCAAUCGCCAAACGUAUGCAUAACUGGGUUAGAGCUUCCUCUUCCGAUUUCACGGGAACUCCUCCACAGCCUAGGAGGUAAAUUAAUUACUUCUUCUCCAUUCAAUUUUCGAUUUUAAUUUUAGCUGAUGAUUUUUUUAUUGUUCAUCAGUGGACAUACAGCUGUCAAUGUCGGAAAAUCCAUGGUCGUUGUGUUCGGCGGUCUCGUCGACAAGAAGUUCCUCAACGACAUCAUUGUCUAUGACAUUGGUAAUAAUCAUCAAUUAUAUUCAGCCUAGGAUUAUUGAUUCCUUGAUCCAAAGAAGAUGCUUUUUUUUUUAUUAGUUACUACUGUCUUGGCUUGUUCUUCUUGUAAUGACUAGUGUUUGCUUCUUCUUUAAUUCUGUGGACUAGAGAACAAACUCUGGUUUGAGCCAGAAUGUACUGGCAGCGUGUCUGAAGGAAAAGUUGGUCCUACACCUCGCGCCUUUCAUGUUGCCAUCACUAUUGAUUGCCAUAUGUUCAUCUUUGGUGGACGUUCUGGUGGCAAGAGGUACGCACUUCUAUAUAUUUUCUAGUUAUAAGCGUUUUUACAUUCUAAAUAGCUCAUUUCUGUAAAUCAAUUUCAGGUUGGGUGACUUCUGGGUUCUAGAUACUGGUAAGUGUUCAAGUUAUAACAAUGUCAUUGAGACCUGCAUAGGGAACUUUUUAAUACUCUGCUGCCAACGUUUUCUGCAGAUAUAUGGCAGUGGUCUGAGCUAACCAGCUUUGGCGACUUACCUACGCCUCGUGAUUUUUCUGCCGCCGCUGCUAUUGGGAACCAGAAAAUUGUGUUGUGAGUAUUCAGAAAUUUUAGACGUUCAUCAGCUUGUUGCCUGCAUUGGCGUAACCUAUGAUCAUUGGCAGGUGUGGCGGCUGGGAUGGUAAAAAAUGGCUGUCAGAUGUGUAUGUUAUGGACACAAGUAAGUUUCUGAUAAUGUCAGCUUUCUUGGUGUCUGUUAGUGUCUCUUGAAUGGAUGGAGCUGUCGGUUUCGGGGUCGUUGCCGCCUCCUAGAUGUGGCCAUACAGCCACCAUGGUUGAGAAACGUUUACUUGUUUUUGGUGGCCGAGGUAUAUAACACCAGAACCAGAAUCUUUGUUCUGCUUGAGCUGAUGACAACUAAACUGAGACUAUGGUUAUCUUUGACAGGAGGUGGUGGCCCUAUCAUGGGUGAUCUGUGGGCUUUGAAGGGUCUAAUAGAUGAAGGUUCAUCCUUACUUACAUUUCUUGAAAAUUGCAUUGAAUUAUGUAGAGGAGUAUUCUCUUGAGUUGUCUUUCUUUCUUUUGUUCUGUUUGCUGAUCUUAUUGUGGUUUACCUUUGUUGUGGAAGAAAGAGCGUGAAACACCUGGAUGGACCCAACUAAAACUUCCUGGCCAAGCACCAUCAGCUCGAUGUGGUCACACUGUCACAUCCGGAGGACAUUAUGUAUGUCUAUUUCAGCUUCCGUUUGCUCUUUUGUAUAAAUAGGUUCGCAUGACAUACAUCACUCACAUCAUUAAUUUUCAUGUAUGAAGCUUCUGUUAUUUGGGGGACAUGGAACUGGUGGAUGGCUGAGUCGUUAUGAUGUCUAUUAUAAUGACACUAUAAUUUUAGACAGAGGUAAAUUCUUGCUUAUGAGAUUCGUCACUCUAAAUCCAAAAAUCCACCUCAGUAAUUUACAAUCUAGUGAGAUGAUAAAAUUGUGAUGUGCUUUAUCAUUUUUCUUGCUGAGCAUUGUUUUCUACGCGUUGUUGCUAAAUUUAUAUUUUCACAUACUAGUAACUGCGCAGUGGAAGCGCUUACCGAUAAGCAAUGAUGAGCCUCCUCCUCCUCGAGCUUACCAUACAAUGACUAGUAUUGUUGCUCGUCAUCUUUUAAUUGGUGGUUUUGAUGGAAAAUCAACCUUCGGUGAUCUUUGGUGGUUGGUUCCUGAAGGUAUCUUUCUCUUAUUUAUACUGAUGUUUUAGUCCAACUUAGCUAUCAUUCUGUGUACACGCAUCAUCAGUUACUUAUAGUUGGAAACUCUUUAGACGAACUAAUCUUGGUGUUGGUCGCAGAUUGUAGGCAAUUUUAGAGACACUUAAUUUCUAGCAUAAUCUUUUUUUUCUUCUUUAUCAAGUUUGUAUUGAAAGUUUUGAAGUUUUACUGAACUGUUUAGCCUUCUGAAAAUGUUGUUAUUCGUUUUUUUCUUUUUCUCUUUUCUCAGAUGAUCCGAUAGCCAAGAGGUCUUCUGUACCUCAACUUAGAAACCCUCCUGAGACUAAAGAGUCAGAGAGAGAUUUGGAUACGGUAACUGUGGUUACUGCUCAUCAUCUUAUGUGUUUCUCGCCAAUGCAGUUAAAUUAGCUUUUCAACGUGUUUUAACACCAAGAGUUUGGUCACAGCAGGAAAGAGGACAAGAGGGAUUCACUAUCGUCGACUUGCAAAAGAAAAUGGGAAUCUCUGUUUCUUCAGGGUUACGCCUUCAAAUACCCGAGGAGUUAGAAGAUCAAGAGUUCGUUGAGUUAGGAACCAGAUUGAUUGAGGGAGAUGCAGUUGAUAAUGGAGCCUCCAUGAUUCAGGUGAGUUUUUCCUCUUGUCUAUUUUAGAAUGUGUGAUUGUGUUAUUCUUGUACUGAAAAUGCUUCUCAAUGAAAAGAUGGCAGCUGAAGCACUUCGUCAACAUUGGAAAGAGUCCACUCCAGAGACUUUGCAAUUAAAGGAGCUUGGUUCCUUGCUUCGAGAUUAUCAGCGACUGGUUACCCGAAAAUACACGUGAGUUCUUAUCCAUGCCUAACUAUUUCAGACUCAGUUCUUGUUUAUGUAGAUUAUCUUUUGUUUCACUAAAAAUGGUUGUUCUUUGAUUGCGCUUGGAAUCACCACAUGGCAUUAGAAUAACUUAGAUAAAUCUCCUGAGAGUUUAGGAGUCAUAUAGAGUUAAUAUGAAUAUAUCAUUUUUGUGUCUUGAAUAGCCCUCGAGACUUUUUAAUCCGAGCAUAUUGUCAAAACUGAUAAUGUUGUGAAUGCAUUGUUUUGUGCCCCUACUAUUACAUGUUAUGAAAUCUCACAUCUGCUUCUUCCUUUCCUUGACACAUGUUUCUUUUCAUUUGUUGUGGCGGGUUUCUAUCAGAUCACAGAGCAGCUUAACAUCUGCUGAUUUUGGAAAGAAGACGUUUACGUUUUAUCAUAUCAAAAAUUCUUCCGAGGUAUUACUCUGCAUACUUUCCUCCCUCGCCUGAAUAUUUGACACCAAUCAAUCAAAACAUCAGGCUUUCCUCCUGACAUGUCAAGUUUACAUUUUGCUAUUCUCAGUUGCGGAUGGAUGACAUUGCGGAGUUGCUGGAAGAAUACAAAACCCUUGUAAUCUGAUUGAGGAGCUCUGCCAUGAAACUCACAAGGAGAAUACAAAACUCAUCAAGUAGCUGCCAAGAAGAUCACCAAGAUUGCUAUCAGCAUUACCAUUGCAAACCACAAAGCUAAAAAGUCUCAAGAGAAUCACAUCUCUGAUAGACAACUAUGUGCAACUUCUUUUUAGCAAGAACAAAAAGAUACAACGUAUAUGUAAGACUUCCAUUAUCUCAACUUAAAUCCAUAUCUAAGCCUCUGCUCUUUUAUUUCUUGUUUGGGCUUUGAAAAUAGAUUGCUUUGCCUUGAAGCCAAUGCGAAAGUAAGGAAAAAAGUAGGCAAACUUCAUCUAUUAGACUUUGAAAUGGAUUACAACAACAACGGUACUCUUGAUAACUUAAACCACAGAGUUUCUGUCUGCAUAGACCCGUAUUGUCUUUUCUCUAUCCCCUAAAACAACUCGAACUCAAGAUGAUCUCCCAUGGCUUUACAUUCAAGAUAUCCAUUACCAUUUCCUUUAGGAGAAGUUGCUUCCGUUGCACCAUUCUCAUAUACAUCCGGCAGCUCAGGCGGAAUGGCGCAGCGGAUGAGAGCCCAGUUCAAUCCUUCAAAGAAUGGAUGCCUCUUGAUCUCUGCAGCUCCUUUCUCCCACCCGAGACGGCUCCCCGGAUCCUUCAUCACCAACCUUCUGAUCAAAUCCUUUGCCUGGAAGCUCACAAGAGGGCUAUCAGGAAACUUGAGGUUCUGAAACACAAACGUCUCCUCAUUGUCAUAACCUUUGAACGGUGUCUUCCCGUAUAAAAGCUCAUAGAGAAGAACCCCAAACGUCCACCAGUCUACUGCAGCACCGUGCCCUUCUCCUUUAAUGAUCUCCGGCGCCAAGUACUCGUGCGUUCCUACAAAAGAGUUUGAUCUUGCUUCAGUUGGUUCAGCCACAAGCUGAGGCAAUGAUCUGAACUGUUGGGUCAGAAGAUCAGGCCUUCUCUGUUUUCUUGGUUUUGAGUUUCUAGCUUGCGUUGACAAGAGCCUAGGGCUGAAACAUGGGACACAGCACGAUGGACUCUAUCUAAAUCACAGGUUCUUCAUCUUCUUUGGAAGCUGAGGAGCUUGAUACAAUAAGUGAAGACGAAGACAAACAGCAGUAUCCAGGCGAUGUGCACUGCAGCUACAGCUGGUAAGAAGUCAUGUUCGAACCCGGAUCCAUCUUUGAGCAACUGUUUUAGUUCCGUGUCUAGGAGACCAGUGUUCUGUACUAUCGAAUCUUGGUCUCCUACUUGAGAUGUGAUGCUUCCAUACAAUGUCCAGCCACUGGCGUUGCCUAGUAAUUAAUAUCAUCUCCACCAUAUCAAUAUUUGCUGCAUCCCCUCCUCCAUAAGAAACAUAAAACAUAAAAGUUAGGUAGCUCUAAAACACUUCUGAUCAUAACAAAAAGUAAGAUCUAUAACACACUUGAUGAUUACGUAACUUGGUUCGUAAUUUUUACCAAUCUUUGGGAUGAGGAACUGGAGAAAAGAUUCCAAAUAGACCGAGGAAGAAAGACAUGCAGAUUCCGGAGAUUUGAUAGUUUGGUGUCAAGGCCACAAAGCAUCAAGCUUGGUAACAUGUCGUAGUAGUAGAAGUAGAACCAGAAGAACUUGACCACAGUACGGUCGUAUCCUAUCAUUGAGUAAAGGAUUAUAGUAUGUAAACUCUAGUUUGUAUGGUGUCAUACUACAUGAUCUAACAACUUUGUCUAUAUUACCAACUAGUGGUAUGCCCGCGCUACGCGCGGGGCGGUUGUCUUGUGUUGUAAUAUUUAUUUUAAAUGUAUUGUCAUCUUUUGUUUGAUUAUAGGUAAAUGAAAAAUUAAUGUAAUAAAAAUUGGUUUGAUUAUAUUAUCAUUAACUCAAAAAAUAAAAAUUAAUUUUUAGUUAUACUUGAGAUCAUGAAGCAUUAUUUUGAUCAACUGAUGAUAAUAGAUAUAAGUUUUAACUGUCAAAGAUAAAUUGUAGAGUACAAUGUGCAUAGUAUAAUAUAGGCUUGACAUUUUAUGUAUAAAUUUAGAUAUCUAUUAGUUUUUUUGUUUGAAAUAAGUAUUUUUUUAAAAUUGUUCUUAUUUGAUUAUAUUUGGGAAAGAAAUGCUGAGAAAGAAAAUUAUUUUGUAAAGAGGGAAUUUUUUUUGUUGUUGAAAUUAAUACAAAGGAGAAAACAGUACAGAAAUGAAACUGGAAAUUAGAAUAUAAUAAACCCCCUUAUUAGUAGUAAUUAAGCUGAAAUCAUAGAUUACUUUCCCUACGUAUGGGACAUUUUUUGUUCGUGCGAAGCCAUCGAUAAAUGUAAGGAAAAUAGAAAUUAUGGUUGCAAGUAAGAGAGUAAAUAUUGUUUUCAUAGUUGAAAUUCCUAAAGCACAUAGUGCAUUCUUCAAUAGUUGGAAGCCUAUUAAUUUCCUCUAAAUCGACGUUAAGUUUUGCAUCGCGUUUUGGUUGUAGCCCUUGAUAGUAAGAGUAAAUUGAAGAUCAUCAGUCAUGGUAUGUUAACAUGAAUUCUAUGCUUUCGGUUGUUGAAUCAUUAAAAUUAAAUUGAUUGUCAAUGAUAGAUGGUAGCUGAAAAUUAAUAAUGGAUUGUUGUGUGUUAGAUCUGGGGAUGUAGACUUGGAGUAUUUGUUGCGGACUUUCUCCUGAAGAUCUUGUUCGGAGUGAUAGCUGAUAAGAGAGAAGUGGUUUGUUAUUUACUUUUGAGUUCUUUGUAAGAGUUUUAUGGUGAAAGUAUGAAAAUGUUUUAUAAAUAUGUCUUAUAGAGUGUGAAUUAAGUUUUUGAUUUAUUUUGACUUCUUCUUACGUUUGGUAUUAAGAACUAUUUAUUUUGGAGGUUUAAUUUUUUGAGUUGAUGGUUUUUGAAGACUUGACUGUUCUGUUUAGGUUGAUUUGUUACUUCUUAUCGAGAUUUUUAUAAUAUACAUAUAGAGUUUAUUUGUAAGAGAAAAUGAUAAUAGGGUAAUUUUCCUAAAUACACAUUUUUAUGUUUUUGUCACAAAAUAGCUUCAAAUGAGUAAAAUGACUAAAAUGUCUCAUUUAAGAGAAAAAGAUAUUUAUACCCUAGAUAUAUAAAUACAAAUAAAAUAUAAUUUAUAGUUUCCAAUUAUAUGUUUUCAAAUUUGAACUUUCUUAUAAAAAUAUAUUUUGUAAAAGUCCAUUCUUUAACUCGAAACCCUAAAGUUUAGAUUAGUUAACCUCAAUUUUAUAAAAAAAUUGAAACCUCUAUCCUAAAACUUUAUCCUUUAACUCGAAACCCUAAAGUUCAGAUUAGUUAACCUCAAGGAUAUAAGUGUAUAUUUAUCUUUUAUUUUGGUUAUUUUUAUUCUAAAAGACUAUAUUUGUGACAAAAAAAAUUUAGGACUGUAAUAGGAAUUUCUCAUGAUAAUAUAUGCUUUUUAUAUUUCGAUGAAUCUUAUUAAUAAUAUAAUUUUAGUUUGGUUAAUUAUUAUUAUGGUUUAACAUUUCAACGAUAGUUUUACUCUUAAUUUUGAUGUUUCUAUAAUGUGCGUUGUUCUAAACUGAAAUUAAUUCGUAUUAGUUAUUUGUAGUUAUGUUAAUAUAUAUUUUUAUUAGUUUUAGUAUAGUUUUAAUGUCCUUGGCUAAAAGCAUUCUACAAAACUAUAGUAUAGUAUAGUUUUAAUUUGGGUUUCCAUAUUUAAUGGAAACGUAGUGGGUCUAGGAGAUUAAUGGUGUUCUUUUGUUGCUGUUGGAAUACGUUAUUGUUUUCAAAGUUUUGAUUUGAGUUAUUAAAUUUAUCAUUUAUAAUUUGAGAUUUUAUAUCAUGAAACUUUAAAACACGAUUGUUUUGUGACUUGUUUGAAAUAAUUAGUAUAUUAUACUUUAAAUUUUAUAUUAAUUUAUUUUAUCGUUAGUAAUUAACAAAGUUCAAGUUAUUCUCCCAAUAAUUGGUUCCAAAAAAAUAAUUGUGCUUUUUCAGUAAUUUACUGUUAAGAAAAUAAAGUUGUAAAUGUUAUGUGAUAUAAUUUUAAGUUAUAUUACACUGUUAUUUUAUAUUUUCUACAAAACAAUUUAUGGACAUUGUUAUUUUUGGCUCAUUUGAAUACACGAAAAAAAAUCUAUUGAUGGACUACACCUACGUUUGGGGAUUAGCAUACAUCUUUUCAUAUGUUUCCUAGGUUAAUAAAAUAAUAUUUCUAUUUUAUCUUCUAUUUAAAUUUAAAAUUUCUAAAUAUCCAUUUUGAUUAUAUAUUUUAUAUAUUUUGAGUAUCGUUGGCUGAAUUUCCUCUCAAAUCCUAGUUACCAAUAUGCCUUAAUUGUUUAAAAGUAGUAGAAAAGCCCAAUAAAAAUCUCUAAACCGAAGACGUUAUAGAGAUGAAGUCUCAGAUUCCGGAAGAGGAAGAGGAUGGAGCAGGAGAGACCCCGAUGGCGAAACAUAGAAACCCUAAAAGAACAAAUUAAGUUUUCUAGAUGAAGAGAAGAGCCCAGAGCCCAGGAACACAUUAAACUAUUCAGAGAGAAAGAGAAUGGCCCACGAAACAAAAACAAACGGACAAAACAAAAUAAACCCACGAAACAACACAAUUUAAGAAACGUAAAUGAAAUCAAACGAACAAAAGCUUUGUAAAAUAGAGACACGUGGCGAAAUUUAGAUAUAUGAGUGCUGAGGUGGAGGCCUGAGGAGCCUUUCCAAGCUACUUUAUUAAUAUAGAUUUUCCCAAUUAAUUAUUUCUAACGAAAAUAUAAUGUAUAAAUAUCAAUGAAUAUAUUUUGAAAGUUGAAAAUGAGGAAGAAAUUUUUUUUUUUACCAAAAAGAAUAAUAAGGGAGAACUAUAGUGAAUGCUUCGAGUGGGCUUAAGCAAACGCAUUAUUGCCUGCGAAAAGUCAUUAUCGCUACAGACUAGAAAACUCACAUAUUUUCUUUUUAUUCAAAAUUAGAACCACAGAUGGCAGCCAAUAUAGACUGUUGAUAAGAUUGACUUGGAGUCUACUCUUUCAUUGCCACUCAUAUCUCUUCUUCCAAAGAACCUCUCUAAGCAAGUUGAAGAGCUGUUACAUGAAAGGUAAAUCAUGUUCUUGUAUCAUUAUUUGUCUGUUUAACUUGCUUUGAUCUGUCUUUUGGACUCUGUUGUGGUUGAAUCUGAAUUUAAAAACGAAAAUUCGUUAGAUUAUUACAAAUCUUGUUUUACGAAUUUAAAGCAUUUAAUCAUCAAAUCUUGUUAUAAAUUGUUUGAAUAAAAGUAAGUUAAGUAAAGUUCCUCUGACAUGUAUCAUAUUUUAUUAGAUAAACCAAGGAUUAUCACAGCGGUUUUAAAUCUUACUACAAGUUUGUACUUAUGUAUUGAUGGUGGAACAGGAGAAUAGUGAUGGCUGAGGGAGUUGUGUCGUUUGGAGUGGAGAAACUCUGGGAUCUCCUGAGUCGAGAAUCAGAGAGACUGCAGGGAGUUCAUGAGAAAGUUGAUGAUCUAAAAUGUCAGAUGAGAAUGUUACAGUCAUUGUUGGAAGAUGCAGAUGCCAAGAGAUAUGAGAGUAAAGUAGUGAGAAGCUUCUUGGAAGAUGUCAAAGACAUUGUUUUUGAUGCAGAAGAUAUAAUCGAAUCCUUUCUUUUGAAAGAACUUAGUGGAAACCAAAAAGGGAUCAAGAGGCGUGUGAAAAGACUUUCUUGUUUCUUAGUGGAUCGCCGAGAUAUUUCUAUGGAAAUUGAAGGCAUAACUACGAGAAUGUCUAAGCUUGUUGCGCAAAUGCAGAGCUUUGGAAUACAACAGAUCAUCUACAGAUCACCGUCUCUACAAGAGAGACAAAGACCAAGGGAGAACCGACAAACAUAUCCAAAGACAUCUCAAAAGGAUCUUGUGGGGGUGGAACAGAGUGUUAACGAAUUGGUUAGUCAUUUGGUGGAGAAUGAUAGCAUCCAAGUAGUUUCCAUAUCUGGGAUGGGUGGUAUUGGAAAAACCACUCUUGCGAGACAAGUUUUUCAUCAUGACAUUGUUCAAAGUCAUUUUGAUGGAUUCGCAUGGAUCUGCGUUUCGCAAGAUUUUAAGAAGAAGGAUAUUUGGCAAAAGUUAUUGCGAGACCUCAGACCACAUGAGAAGGGAAUCGAACAUAUGAAUGAGGAUACACUCCAGGCUAAGAUCUUUCAUUUGUUGGAAACAUCUAAAUACUUAAUUGUCAUGGAUGAUGUAUGGAAAAAAGAAGACUGGGAUGUAAUAAAAGACGUAUUCCCCCAAGCAAGAGGUGAGCUCUCUAAUUGUACAAACAUUACUUCCCAUAGCUAUUUCAUAAAUGCCUUUGAGUCCUUGAGAUGAAAGGAAAUACAAUUGCAGGUUGGAAGAUGAUUCUUACUUCACGCAAUGAAGGUGUUGGUUUGCAUGCCGACCCAUCAUGUUUUCCCUUUAGACCAAAAAUCCUUACUCCUGAAGAAAGUUGGAUGCUAUGUGAGAGCAUAGCAUUCCCUAGAAGAGAAAUAACGGGUAUGUUUCUAUAUAAGACAUAUGAAUCUCUUACGGGCCUUCUUAUCAAAAAUCUUUUGUACUAAUUCCUAAAUUAUCAUCUGGGAUGACAUAUAUUGUUAUAUAUACUAGGUGUUUAUCGGCAUAUAUAAGAAGGAUAAAACAUAUUUUUGUAAAUUUUUUUAUGCUUAGAAUUUUAUUUUAAGAUAACAACCCAAUAUACCUAUAUAUAUGAUUUCUAUUUUUAUCUUAAAAAUAUAUUUUUAUUUUUUGACUAUUUUCUUAUCUUAGUCAAUCUAUUAAAUAAAUCCAAAAGUUGAUUAUAUAAAUUAUAAAUCUAGACAAGAACAAAAAAAAACAAUUUCAUUGCCAAUAAUGAAUUAUUAGAAUCUUUGAUUUAUAUAGUCCCAUCCGUUACUUUAUGUAUGUGUUAUUUAGGAGGGUCAUUGGUAAGUGAAUUCUUAUGAACUUUGGAAAAUUUGAGAUUUCAUUAUUAUUAGUUUUUGGAUUUCAAAUAUCUUAAUAGAAUCCGUUGUUAUUGGUUUUAAAAAAAAUCAAAAUCCAUUCAAAUCUUUUGUUAUUCAAAAAGUUUAGUUAUUAUUGAUUCUCUAAUUCUAACUAAAUUCAGUGUUACUGGGAGAUGAAUUUUAUUUAUUUUUAUUCAUAAGACUCAACUAUCAAAAUAUGUAUCCAUAUGAUUUUCAAAAUCCAUGUGAUAAAAAACUAAAAAAUAAAAUAAUUAUUCUUACCAAUUAUCUAUUGAACCUUAAAUCCAAAUUAUACGUCCAAAAAUAUAAUUAAUUACAUUUAUAUACUUUUACAUUUUUGAAUAUAUAAUUAUUUUUAUAAAUAUUAUCAUUUUUAAUAUAAAUAUUAAUAAUUACAUUUAUAAAUAUUAACAAGUUUUAAUAUAUUUUUUUAAAAAUAGUUUCGAAAACCAUUUUCAAAUUUAUAAAAAUUAUAAAAAGUUCAAAUUUGAAAACAUCUAAUCCGAAAUUAUAAAACAAAAUUUUUUAUUUUUAUUUUAUUUUUAUUACUUAUAUAUCUAUAAAGCAAAGGGAAAAAUAGUUUUUUGCCCUUUUAAUAAAACUUCUUUUGGUCAUUUUCCUUUUUGAAUAUUUUUUGUGACAAAAACUUAAAAAUGACUAUUUAAGAAAAUUGUACAAUUUUGUAUGUAUCACUAUUAUUUUCUUUUUAAUUUGAAGAAAAAAAUAAAUAAUCAUGCUAUAUGAUUUAGAAAAUAUAUAAAUUAUAUAUUUACUUUACAAAAAAAAAUUAUAGAAAAGAGGUAAUACAAAUUCAUGAAAAUCUUUUCCAAUCUAAAAAGGUUAUUAUCAAAUUUCAUAAGUCGAUGUAUUUAAAUUUUUACAAUCUACAUAACUUUUAAAAAUCUAUCAACUCCAUGGAUGGAUGGAUGGAUGGAUUUGCGAAGUGAUUUUUUGCAAUGGAGUUCUCACGUUAAAAGUUAGAGUGGUAAAUAUUGUGUAUACCCUUAAUGAAUAAAAUAUAUAUUAGCAAAAAAAAUAAAAAUUAAUUUAUUUUUUCUUAGAUAAUUAUUUAAACUAAUAAUAAGAAUUAUCCAAAAUCUAAAAAAAAAAAGAUAAUUCCUAUAGAUAUUGUGUUGUUAUCUGAAAAAAUCAUUUAAUAAAAAGUUCAAAGUUAAAAAAAUGGAAAACACAUAACUAAAUAUAUUAAUCAAGUAAAUGCUUGAUUUUAUAUAAUUGAAAAGAGCAUAUUGAGUGAUUUCUAAAAUUUAUUUAUUAAUAAUUAAUGAAUAUAGUGUAUAAGGAAAUAUUCAAAAAUUAUAAUACAUAAAAAAAUCAAAUGAAAAAAUAAAUAAUAAUUUAUCAUUAUAGUAUUCUAAUUAUUAAUACAUAUAUUAAUAAGUAAUUAUAAAAUACUUAUGUCUACGGAAGAAACACCUAGUAAUAGUAUAAUAUACAAGUUUAGCAAUAUGAACUUCAUAUUGUAAGCAUGGCCGGCUUUUGAGGAAGGCGGUCAGUGCGACCACUCCGCGGCCCGUUUCAAAUCAUGUUAUGUUAAGGGCCUUAAGAGUUAUAAAAUUUAGAGAUUCUAUUGUUAUUGGUUUAUGUAUUCUUAUAAUCUUGUUAGAAUCCUUUGUUAUUGGUUUAUGAACUUUUAAAUUUCAUAUAAAAUCCUUUGUUAUUCAAAAAGUCUAGUUUUUAUUGAUUUUGUAAUUUUAGUAAACUCUCUUGUUAUUGGGACAUAAAUUCUCUCUAGUUUUACUCAUAACACUCAACUUUACAAAUAUCAUCUAUACUCAUAAGAUUUUUAGAAUCUAUGUAACAAAAAACACAAAUAUACAAACACAAAAAGUUUUGUAUUACAUUUUUGUUGUCAUGUGAAAGAUAAUUGUAAAAGGAAAUUUAAAGAUAACAAAUUAUUAAAGAUAACAUAAUUAAGAAUAUGAAAAAAUCAUAGGUUGACCUCAGAAAACUUUAAACAAAAAUCAAAAAAGACAAAUUCAAAUAUUAAAAAAAUAAAAAAAAAAUAUUUUAACAUCAAAUAACUAUAUUUCUUGAAAUAAAAAGUUUAGAAGUAUUUUUAUAAAUAGAUAAAUCUGGAAAGAAAAACAUAUAUGGAAAUUCAUGCUAAUCAAUCAUAAUCAAUGAAAAUUUAUACAAUACAUAUGGCAAGAAUUCAUCAAAUUUACUUAACUCUUAAAAAAAUUUGAACUUUAAAAAUUUUCAGAUUCUAAGCAAAUUUCAUUUUCAAUAGGCCCCUAAGAAAUCAAGUAUAAAUUUUUGCUCGAUGUUAUGCCUAAGUUGAAAAGUUAAAGAAACACAAAAUUUAAAAAAACAGACUAGUUAUGGGCCUCAAAAUUUUGAUUUGCCCUGGGGCCCUCUAAUUGUAAGUGAUCUUAAAUGUUCGAAACAAAAAAAAUAUAAAAUACUAAGUAAACUAUUAAAAGAGUCCUCAUAAAAACUAACAAUUCUCCGGAUAAUCAUUAAGUUAGAAAAAAUAUAUAUAAUUCUUUUUAAUUUAUAAAAUUAAUUAUAGAUUAAAAGUAUCAAUGACUUUAGUCGUUAUAACUUUUAAUAUAAGAGUUCAGAGGUAAAAAAAUCACAAGUUUAGCAAUACAAACUUCAAAACAAAAAAAACGUAGUAGUAAUACAAACUGACGUAAGUAUAAAAUACUAAGUAAACUAUAAAAGGGGCCAUCAUAAAAACUAACAAUUUUCCAGAUAAUCACUAAGUUAGAAAAUCUAUAUAAUUCCUUUUAAUUUAUAAAACUAAUUAUAGAUUAAAGAUGUCAAUGACUUUAGUCGCUAUAACUUUUAACAUGAGAGUUCAGAGGUAAAAAAUCACAAGUUUAGCAAUAUAAACUUCAUAUUGUAAGUGAACAUAAAUGUUCAGAAAAAUAAGUGGUAGUAAUACAAACUGACGUAAAGUAUAAAAUACUAAGUAAACUAUAAAAGAGGCCAUCAUAAAAACAAACAAUUCUCCAGAUAAUCAUCCAGAUAAUCAUUAAGUUAGAAUAUAUAUAUAAUUCCUUUAAAUUUAUAAAUUAAUUAUAGAUUAAGGGUAUCCACGACUUUAGUCGCUCUAACGGAUGAGAGAUCAAAAGUAAAAACAUCACAUUGCUAAUAAUAGUACAAAUAGAUAGAUAUAUUAUAAUUUUUUGAAAAUUUGAAAAGACUAGACACAUAUAUUAUUUCAAGACUAAUCUAUAAUAUGCUUUACUGUUUUCAGAAUUUAAUGUUGAUGAAGAACUAGAAGCCAUGGGUAAGAAAAUGGUCAAAUAUUGUGGAGGACUACCAUUAGCCGUUAAAGUGCUGGGAGGCUUGUUAGCUAAUAAAACCAUGGUUGAAGAGUGGAAAAGAGUAGAUGACAAUAUUCAAACUCAGAUAGUUCGCAUAGAUGACAAAAGUCAAGAUUCUGUUUACCGAGUAUUGUCUAUGAGCUAUGAAGAUUUGCCAAUGCAGUUAAAGCAUUGCUUUCUCUACCUAGCUCAUUUUCCCGAAGAUUACGAGAUACAAGUGGAGAGAUUGUAUUAUCUCUGGGAAGCAGAAGGAAUAAUAACGUCAAGUGGC
rnacentral:lncRNA from 1 species